rnacentral:rRNA from 1 species
UACGUAGAGUGCAAGCGUUGUCCGGAAUUAUUGGGCGUAAAGGGUACGCAGGCGGAUAGUAAAGUCAAGCGUGAAAGGUGUCGGCUUAACCGACAGACUGCGUUUGAAACUGAUUAUCUUGAGUGUAACAGAGGAGAGUGGAAUUCCUAGUGUAGUGGUGAAAUACGUAGAUAUUAGAAGAACACCAGUUGGCGAAGGCGACGUCUCUGGGGUUAACACUGACGCUGAGGUACGAAAGCUGGGGGAGCAAACGGGGAUUUAGAUACCCGCGUAGGU